rnacentral:rRNA from 1 species
UGUUCCUACGGGGGGCAGCAGUGGGGAAUAUUGGACAAUGGGGGGAACCCUGAUCCAGCGACGCCGCGUGAGUGAAGAAGUAUUUCGGUAUGUAAAGCUCUAUCAGCAGGGAAGAAAGAAAUGACGGUACCUGACUAAGAAGCCCCGGCUAACUACGUGCCAGCAGCCGCGGUAAUACGUAGGGGGCAAGCGUUAUCCGGAUUUACUGGGUGUAAAGGGAGCGUAGGUGGCAAGGCAAGUCAGAUGUGAAAACCCGGGGCCCAACCCCGGGAGUGCAUUUGAAACUGUCUGGCUAGAGUGCAGGA